rnacentral:rRNA from 1 species
UACGAAGGGGGCUAGCGUUGCUCGGAAUGACUGGGCGUAAAGGGCGCGUAGGCGGUUCAUACAGUCAGAUGUGAAAUUCCUGGGCUCAACCUGGGGGCUGCAUUUGAUACGUGUGGACUAGAGUGGGGAAGAGGGUCGUGGAAUUCCCAGUGUAGAGGUGAAAUUCGUAGAUAUUGGGAAGAACACCGGGUGGCGAAGGCGGCGACCUGGUCCUUGACUGACGCUGAGGCGCGAAAGCGUGGGGAGCAAACAGG